UGGAUGAGGAUGAAGCUACAAUCUUAUAAUCCAACACUUGAUCUGAGAUAUUCAUUAUCAAAUGAAGCUUUAAGUAUUUGCUUCUGAAUCUGC
rfam:Citrus clementina cultivar Clemenules unplaced genomic scaffold scaffold_4, whole genome shotgun sequence.